rnacentral:rRNA from 1 species
UGUCUCAAAGAUUAAGCCAUGCAUGUCUAAGAAUAAACCGAAUAUGGUAAAUCCGCGAAUGGCUCAUUACAACAGCUUUAGUUUGUUGGAUCUAAUCCCACAGCAAUAACUGUGGAAAAGCCAGAGCUAACUCUGCAUUCAAGUCCCGACUUCGGAAGGGACGCAUUUGUUAGAACAAGACCAAUUGGCUUCGGCCAUCUAUUGGUGAAUCUGAGCAACUUAGCAGAUCGCAUGGGCUCGUCCCGGCGACAUAUCCUUCAAGUGUCUGCCUUAUCAACUGUCGAUGGUAGUUUAUUGGACUACCAUGGUUGUAACGGGUAACGGAGAAUUAGGGUUCGACUCCGGAGAGGGAGCCUGAGAUACGGCUACCACAUCCAAGGAAGGCAGCAGGCGCGCAAAUUACCCACUCUCAGCUCGAGGAGGUAGUGACGAAAAAUAACGAGACAGUCUUCUAUGAGGUCUGUCAUCGGAAUGGGUACAAUUUAAACCCUUUAACGAGGAUCUAUUGGAGGGCAAGUCUGGUGCCAGCAGCCGCGGUAAUUCCAGCUCCAAUAGCGUAUAUUAAAGUUGUUGCGGUUAAAAAGCUCGUAGUUGGAUCUGCGACCAUCAAGACCGGUAGCCCAUUGGGUUUCACUGGUGCUUGUGGUCUCCUUACUGGUCUUUCCUUGGUGCUCUUAACUGAGUGCCUUGGUUGGCUAGUGCUUUUACUUUGAAAAAAUUAGAGUGCUCAAAGCAGGCGUUUGCCUGAAUAGUGGUGCAUGGAAUAAUGGAAUAGGACCUCGGUUCUAUUUUGUUGGUUUUCGGAGCUCGAGGUAAUGAUUAAGAGGGACAGACGGGGGCAUUCGUACUGCUACGUUAGAGGUGAAAUUCUUGGAUCGUAGCAUGACGAACAACUGCGAAAGCAUUUGCCAAGAAUGUUUUCAUUAAUCAAGAACGAUAGUUAGAGGUUCGAAGGCGAUCAGAUACCGCCCUAGUUCUAACCGUAAACGAUGCCAACUAGCAAUCCGCUGGCGUUAAUUUUGACUCAGCGGGCGGCUGCCCGGAAACGAUAAGUUUUUCGGUUCCGGGGGAAGUAUGGUUGCAAAUCCGAAACUUAAAGGAAUUGACGGAAGGGCACCACCAGGAGUGGAGCCUGCGGCUUAAUUUGACUCAACACGGGAAAACUCACCCGGCCCGGACACUGUAAGGAUUGACAGAUUGAAAGCUCUUUCACGAUUCAGUGGGUGGUGGUGCAUGGCCGUUCUUAGUUGGUGGAGCGAUUUGUCUGGUUAAUUCCGAUAACGAACGAGACUCUAGCCUACUAAAUAGUGCGUGGAUCUUUAAGUCCUCGCUACUUCUUAGAGGGACAGACGGCGUCUAGCCGUACGAAAUUGAGCAAUAACAGGUCUGUGAUGCCC